rnacentral:rRNA from 1 species
CUAACGUGGGCCCGUGAACCGGGUUGCGGACAGUGUCUGGUGGGUAGUUUGACUGGGGCGGUCUCCUCCUAAAGAGUAACGGAGGAGCACGAAGGUUGGCUAAUCCUGGUCGGACAUCAGGAGGUUAGUGCAAUGGCAUAAGCCAGCUUGACUGCGAGCGUGACGGCGCGAGCAGGUGCGAAAGCAGGUCAUAGUGAUCCGGUGGUUCUGAAUGGAAGGGCCAUCGCUCAACGGAUAAAAGGUACUCCGGGGAUAACAGGCUGAUACCGCCCAAGAGUUCAUAUCGACGGCGGUGUUUGGCACCUCGAUGUCGGCUCAUCACAUCCUGGGGCUGAAGUAGGUCCCAAGGGUAUGGCUGUUCGCCAUUUAAAGUGGUACGCGAGCUGGGUUUAGAACGUCGUGAGACAGUUCGGUCCCUAUCUGCCGUGGGCGCUGGAAGAUUGAGGGGGGCUGCUCCUAGUACGAGAGGACCGGAGUGGACGCAUCACUGGUGUUCGGGUUGUCAUGCCAAUGGCACUGCCCGGUAGCUACAUGCGGAAGAGAUAAGUGCUGAAAGCAUCUAAGCACGAAACUUGCCCCGAGAUGAAUCUUCCCUGAGCCUUUAAGGCUCCUGAAGGAACGUUGAAGACGACGACGUUGAUAGGCCGGGUGUGUAAGCGCAGCGAUGCGUUGAGCUAACCGGUACUAAUGAACCGUGAGGCUUAACCUUACAAC